AUACUUACCUGGACGGGGUCAAUAGAUGAUCAUGAAUGUUUAUGGCCUAGGGUAGUGACUUUCAUUGCACUUGGAAGGGGUGCUCCUCUAAGGUUUGUCCCAGUGACAAAGCCUACGUCAUAAUUUGUGGCAGUGGAGUUUGCGUUCGCGCAACCCCUUC